rnacentral:rRNA from 1 species
GCUUAACACAUGCAAGUCGAGGGGCAGCAUGAUCUUAGCUUGCUAAGGUUGAUGGCGACCGGCGCACGGGUGCGUAACGCGUAUGCAACUUGCCUUACAGAGGGGGAUAACCCGUUGAAAGACGGACUAAAACCGCAUACACUUGUAUUAUUGCAUGAUAUUACAAGGAAAUAUUUAUAGCUGUAAGAUAGGCAUGCGUCCCAUUAGCUGGUUGGUGAGGUAACGGCUCACCAAGGCGACGAUGGGUAGGGGAACUGAGAGGUUUAUCCCCCACACUGGUACUGAGACACGGACCAGACUCCUACGGGAGGCAGCAGUGAGGAAUAUUGGUCAAUGGGCGAUAGCCUGAACCAGCCAAGUCGCGUGAAGGAAGACAGUCCUAAGGAUUGUAAACUUCUUUUAUACGGGAAUAACGGGCGAUACGAGUAUUGCAUUGAAUGUACCGUAAGAAUAAGCAUCGGCUAACUCCGUGCCAGCAGCCGCGGUAAUACGGAGGAUGCGAGCGUUAUCCGGAUUUAUUGGGUUUAAAGGGUGCGUAGGUUGUUCGGUAAGUCAGCGGUGAAACCUGAGCGCUCAACGUUCAGCCUGCCGUUGAAACUGCCGGGCUUGAGUUCAGUGGCGGCAGGCGGAAUUCGUGGUGUAGCGGUGAAAUGCAUAGAUAUCACGAGGAACUCCGAUUGCGAAGGCAGCUUGCCAUACUGCGACUGACACUGAAGCACGAAGGCGUGGGUAUCAAACAGGAUUAGAUACCCUGGUAGUCCACGCAGUAAACGAUGAUUACUAGGAGUUUGCGAUAUACCGUCAAGCUUCCACAGCGAAAGCGUUAAGUAAUCCACCUGGGGAGUACGCCGGCAACGGUGAAACUCAAAGGAAUUGACGGGGGCCCGCACAAGCGGAGGAACAUGUGGUUUAAUUCGAUGAUACGCGAGGAACCUUACCCGGGAUUGAAAUGUAGAUGACGGAUGGUGAAAACCGUCUUCCCUUCGGGGCUUCUAUGUAGGUGCUGCAUGGUUGUCGUCAGCUCGUGCCGUGAGGUGUCGGCUUAAGUGCCAUAACGAGCGCAACCCACAUCGGUAGUUGCUAACAGUUCUCGCUGAGGACUCUACCGAGACUGCCGUCGUAAGGCGCGAGGAAGGUGUGGAUGACGUCAAAUCAGCACGGCCCUUACAUCCGGGGCGACACACGUGUUACAAUGGGAGGGACAAAGGGCAGCUACCGGGCGACCGGAUGCGAAUCUCUAAACCCUUCCCCAGUUCGGAUCGGAGUCUGCAACUCGACUCCGUGAAGCUGGAUUCGCUAGUAAUCGCGCAUCAGCCAUGGCGCGGUGAAUACGUUCCCGGGCCUUGUACACACCGCCCGUCAAGCCAUGGGAGUCGGGGGUACCUGAAGGGCGUAACCGCAAGGGGCGCACUAGGGUAAUACCGGUGACUGGGGCUAAGU